rfam:Picea glauca, whole genome shotgun sequence.
GAAAUGGUGUCUUUAUACACCACCCUAUAUCUUCAAAAAAAAAAAAU